rnacentral:rRNA from 1 species
AGUGAACGCUGGCGGCGUGCCUUAUACAUGCCAAGUCGAACGGACAAGUAAAGAGCUUGCUCUUAUGAGUUAGUGGCGCACGGGUGAGUAAAUGUAAAGCUAAUCUGCCCUACACUAGAGGACAACAGUUGGAAACGACUGCUAAUACUCUAUACUCCUCUCUAGCAUAAGUUAGAUAGGGAAAGUUUUUCGGUGUAGGAUGAGGGCUAUAUUGUAUCAGCUAGUUGGUGAGGUAAUGGCUCACCAAGGCUAUGACGCAUAACUGGUCUGAGAGGAUGAUCAGUCACACUGGAACUGAGACACGGUCCAGACUCCUACGGGAGGCAGCAGUAGGGAAUAUUGCUCAAUGGGGGAAACCCUGAAGCAGCAACGCCGCGUGGAGGAUGACACUUUUCGGAGCGUAAACUCCUUUUGUUAGGGAAGAACAAUGACGGUACCUAACGAAUAAGCACCGGCUAACUCCGUGCCAGCAGCCGCGGUAAUACGGAGGGUGCAAGCGUUACUCGGAAUCACUGGGCGUAAAGGACGCGUAGGCGGAUUAUCAAGUCUCUUGUGAAAUCCUAUGGCUUAACCAUAGAACUGCUUGGGAAACUGAUAAUCUAGAGUGAGGGAGAGGCAGAUGGAAUUGGUGGUGUAGGGGUAAAAUCCGUAGAGAUCACCAGGAAUACCCAUUGCGAAGGCGAUCUGCUGGAACUCAACUGACGCUAAUGCGUGAAAGCGUGGGGAGCAAACAGG